CUUGCGUCGCCCGUCAGCAUAGUGGCCACUGUGCUAGCAGACGCUUGCCCACCGGCCUGAUGAUUCUUUGUGCUGGCGGGUGCCCCGCCAGCACGCUAAUUUCCUUGUACCAUCAAAAAUCGAUUGGUGUAGUGUCUGUGCGUUCCUGGUCCCGUGCUUGCUCGUCGUAGAGCGCGUCCUCGGAUUCAUCCUCAUCCUCCCCUUCCUCCUCUUCCAUCCUCCGCACCUUCCCACCGGCAGCGACAUCCGCCUGCUCCUCCGGCCCCGGCGCCUCCACGUCAGCAGCGGUAUCCGCCUGCUCCUUAGACUCCGGCGGGGGCGAGGGAUGCGCCCCCUCCCCGGCGGCCUCGGUGUCUUGCUCGACGGGGGCCGUCGGCGAGGGGCGUUUUGCCUUUUCAGUAUUCUGUCAUCCAGAAAGAAAAAAAGAAGCGGAUAGUAGCACGGAGAGAUGGCUCAUGAAAAGCUCAUGGUGACGAUGGCGUUGGCCAGCCUACGAUGGGUGGCAUCGCCAAUUGCCAAUAAGCUCCUCGCCGACGCCUCAACCUACCUUGGCAUGGACAUGUCGCGUGAGCUCCAAGAACUGGAGAGCACCAUCCUGCCCCAGUUCGAGCUGGUGAUCGAGGCGGCGGAGAAGAGCCCUCACAGGGGCAAGCUGGAGAAAUGGCUCCAGGACCUCAAAGCGGCCUUCUACAACGCCGAGGACGUGCUGGAUGAGCACGAGUACAACAACCUCAAGCGCAACGCGAAGCAGAGCAAGUGGGCUGCCAUGGCCUGCGGCGGCUCAUGGCCGCCGGGCAGGCUUGCCAACUUGCACCCAGGGAACAGAAGGCUUCUUCGUCAGGUCAAUGAGCUGAAGGACAUCCUGGUGAAGGCCAAGAGCUUCCGCCAGCAGCUUGGCGUCUUGCCGGCUGUGGGAGAUAGUUCGCAGUCACAGGGAACUGCAACUGCAACAACAUCAUUUCCCACUUCCAAGGUGUUGGGCCGCGACACGGAGCGCGAUCGCAUAAUACAAUUUCUUUUAAAUGAUGAGGCUUCUUCUGGGUCUGGUUCAGCAAGGAUCUCAAGUUUGGCCAUUGUUGGGCUUGGAGGCAUGGGUAAAUCCACCUUGGCACAAUAUGUUUACAAUGACAAGAGGGUAGAGGAAUACUUUGGUAAAAGGAUGUGGGUUUGCAUCUCACGCAAACUCGAUGUCCGUCGCCACACACGGGAGAUUAUCGAGUCCGCAGAAAAGGGGGAGUGCCCAAUCGUGGAUAACAUUGAUACUCUCCAGUACAAGUUAAGGGACAUUCUGCAAAAAUCAGAGAGAUUCCUGCUUGUAUUGGAUGAUGUGUGGUUUGAUGAAUCCAAUGUGGAAAGGGACUGGGAGCAACUUCUAGCUCCCCUAGCUUCUAAGCAGAGGGGAAGCAAAAUUCUUGUGACUUCUCGGCGCAAUGUAUUUCCAGCUGCUCUUUGCUGCCACGAGGUGUUUGAUUUACAAGACAUGGAAGAUUCUGCAUUCUUGACACUCCUCAGAGAACAUGCCUUCUCUGGAGCUGAAAUCAGAGACGCGCAGUUGCGUAUGAACCUCGAAGAGAUUGCAAAGAAGAUAGCUAGAAGGCUUGGACAAUCUCCCUUGGCAGCAAAAACUGUGGGUUCACAGUUGAGUAGGAAAAAGGAUGUUACUACAUGGACAGCGGCUCUAAGGAGUGACAACUUAAGUGAGCCUAUGAGAGCUCUGCUGUGGAGUUACGAGAAGUUAGAUCCUCGUCUGCAGAGGUGCUUUCUGUAUUGCAGUUUAUUUCCAAAAGGGCACAAGUAUAAUGAUCGGGAGUUGGUUCACCUCUGGACAGCAGAGGGUUUUAUCGAUUUGAGUAGCCAGAGCAGAAGAAUGAAAGAUAUCGGCAGCAAUUACCUGAAUGAGUUGAUCGCUUGUUCAUUCUUGCAACCAGGUUCUGAUAGAUUUGGUUUUGGAUGUUAUAUCAUGCAUGACCUCUUACAUGAUUUGGCAGAAAAACUCUCCAGAGAUGAUUGCUUCAGAUUAGAAGAUGAUGAUAUGGCAGAAAUACCCUGCACCGUUCGGCAUCUCUCAGUCCAUGUUAAGAGCAUGAAGCAGCAUAAGCAAAGUAUCUGCAAGCUACGCCAUCUGCGCACUGUUAUCUGUAUUGGUCGUCUGGUGGAUGAUGCAGAUGAUGUUUUCCAUCAGGUACUGCAGAAUCUGAAGAGGCUACGUGUUCUCUAUAUGUGCUUUUACAACAAAGAAAAAUUACCUGAAUCUGUUGGUGAGUUGAAGCACCUUCGGUAUUUGAACGUCAUUCAAACCACAAUAUCAGAAUUUCCUGCAUCUUUGUGCACUCUUUACCACUUGCAGAUCCUUCUGUUCAGUUACAGAGUUCAGAGUUUGCCUAAGAAACUAUGCAAUUUAAGUAAGUUACUAAGUUUUGAACUAUAUCAUGAUGGAGAAUUCUACGUGAAGUUCCCUUUUGCAGAGCUGCCUCAAAUUCCUUACAUAGGCAAGCUAACUUCGCUUCAAAAUCUUGAUGAAUUCCGUGUGCAAAAGCAGAAAGGAUAUGAGCCGCGACAGCUGAGGGACAUGAAUGGGCUUGGUGGCAGGUUAUCUAUUACACAUCUCGAGAAUGUCACUAGAAAGGAUGAAGCUGCAGAGAUGAUGCUGCAUAAGAAAAGGUAUCUUAAACAUUUGGAUCUUAUCUGGAGCAGUGAGAGUGACUCGCAUGCUGAGGAUAGUUUACAUCUGGACAUUCUAGAAGGUCUGAGGCCACCGGCUCAGUUGGAGGGCCUUGCAAUCGAGGGUUACAAAUCUCACAGAUACCCAAGCUGGUUACUAGAGGGUUCAUAUUUUGACAAUUUGGACUUCUUUCGACUUCAUGAUUGCACUGCGUUAGAAGGUCUACCACUCAACACCGAGGUCUUUAGGCAUUGCUCCAGACUGGUGAUCUCGGACGUACCAAACCUGAAGACAUUACCUCGUCUGCCAGAAGGCAUUACAUAUGUAUCAAUUAAAGGAUGCCCGCUGCUUAUGUUUAUCUCCAGCAACGAGAUGAGAGAACAUGAUAAGAGAGAAAAGAUUGUGAUGCCAGAGCAAUUGGUGUCUCAGCUUUGUUUAAUCUGGGAGUUGGAUUCAGGAUCAUAUCCAGUGAUUAAGAGGGACCUUCAUGAAGAACAUUCAUUUUUGAAGCAACUGACGCCAUUGGUGGAUGCUGAUAUAUCCCAACAUCUUCAGACCAUCAGCAGGACCCUUGAACAAGAAAAAGAUGAAGAAUAUGAUAAAGAAACAAUCAUCAAGGCAUGGUUAUGUUGCCACGAGCAGAGAAUAGAACUCUUGUACGGGACUAAUAUUGGGCAACAGUUGCUUCUGCCAUCAACUCUGAAUCACCUGUGUCUUUCUUCAUGCAGUAUUACAAAUGGCGCUUUAGGAGUUUGCCUAGGCAGCCUCACUUUACUAAGAAGACUGUCACUAACAAGGAUAAUGACUUUAACUGCACUUCCAUCAGAAGAGGUCUUCCAACAUUUGACAGCACUUGACGACUUGCGGAUUGAUUCUUGCUGGUGUCUCAGAUCAUUAGGGGGAUUGCGAGCGGCUACCUUUGUUACCGAAGUUUCUAUUGAGUGCUGCCCGUCCUUAGAGCUGACAUGCGGAGCAGAAUCUAUGCCGUUGUCUCUUGAGACGCUUAGCAUAGAUGGCUGUGUGCUUGCAGCUGAUUUCUUAAGCAAUGGAUUGACACAUCUGAAACAUCUGCACAUGUAUAGGUGUAGAAGCUCUGCAUCCUUGUCAAUUGGCCAUCUAACCUCCCUCGAAUCAUUGCAGUUACAUAAUGUUCCGGAUUUAUGCAUGCUUGAAGGAUUGUCUUCGCUGCAACUUCAGGAUGUAGGGUUGGUAGAUGUCCCGAAGCUGUCUGCGGGAUCCAUCUCGCAGUGCUGUGUCCAGAAAUCACUCUGUGUUAGCAGAUCUGAUAUCUUCAACCACUUGCUCUCAGCUGAAGGCUGUACAGGUCCAGAGCAGGUCCAAAUCCAAAGUUGCAACGAGACAUCUAUUUUCUUUGAGGCAUCUGCAAAUUUUACGUCUGUCAAGGAGCUGGUAAUUUCUGAAUGCAGAAUUCAGUCACUGCCAAAAAAUAUGAAGGACCUCUCCUGUAUGGAGAAGCUUGAAAUUGCGGAGUGCCCAAACAUAUCAUCCUUACCGGAUCUGCCAAGUUCCCUCAAGCAAAUAACCAUAUACAAUUGUAAACUCUUGUCGAAGAACUGCCGAGAACCUGACGGAAUAAGCUGGCCAAAGAUCGCCCAUAUCCCUUGGAGGUACAUCAAUUGAAUUGCGCUUCGGAUCCCUGAGGAGAAACAAACAAGGUGAAGCUUCUACUGGUACUGGAGAAGAUGGAGCAUUAUACGCUUGUGACAGCUCAACCGCGAACUGUUUCAUGCCCGUGGCCCAUUUCAACUUCUGUUCUGAUACCGACACAUUGCGCCUCGACUGGUUGCUCCCUUCUACUGCCUCAGCUUCUGCUGCUGUGUGUUGUAAAAUAAACUGCCAAGCCAAUAUGGAAAUGGAAAUGCUUGUUGUACCAUUGAAACCUGUAAAUACUAUGGCUAGCAUGUAAACUAUGGUAUUGUACCUGUAAAAAGAACAUGUAAAUGUUUGUUCCAUUAAUUUGGUUGCUUUAUACUAUCUGUAAAAACAAAUGGGAUUGGUUAUGCAAAAUUCCUUUUUUUUA